rnacentral:rRNA from 1 species
UGGGGGAAUUUUGGACAAUGGGCGAAAGCCUGAUCCAGCAAUGCCGCGUGUGUGAAGAAGGCCUUCGGGUUGUAAAGCACUUUUGUCCGGAAAGAAAUCCUCUGGGGUUAAUACCUCGGGGGGAUGACGGUACCGGAAGAAUAAGCACCGGCUAACUACGUGCCAGCAGCCGCGGUAAUACGUAGGGUGCAAGCGUUAAUCGGAAUUACUGGGCGUAAAGCGUGCGCAGGCGGUUUUGUAAGACGGAUGUGAAAUCCCCGGGGCUUAACCUGGGAACUGCAUUCGUGACUGCAAGGCUAGAGUAUGGCAGAGGGGGGUUAGAAUUCCACGUGUGAGCAGUGAAAUGCGUAGAGAUGUGGAGGAAUACCGAUGGCGAAGGCAGCCCCCUGGGCCAAUACUGACGCUCAUGCACGAAAGCGUGGGGGAGCAAAACGAU